rnacentral:rRNA from 1 species
CCUGACGCAGCAACGCCGCGUGAGUGAUGAAGGCCUUCGGGUCGUAAAGCUCUGUCAAGUGGGAAGAACCCGGUUGAUUAUAAUACAAUUAACCGCUGACGGUACCACUGAAGGAAGCACCGGCUAACUCCGUGCCAGCAGCCGCGGUAAUACGGGGGGUGCAAGCGUUAUUCGGAAUCAUUGGGCGUAAAGGGCGCGUAGGCGGUUUUUUAAGUCGGAUGUGAAAGCCCGGGGCUUAACCCCGGAAGUGCAUUUGAAACUGAAAGACUUGAGUAUGGGAGAGGGAAGUGGAAUUCCUGGUGUAGAGGUGAAAUUCGUAGAUAUCAGGAGGAACACCGGUGGCGAAGGCGACUUCCUGGACCAAUACUGACGCUGAGGCGCGAAGGCGUGGGUAGCAAACAGGAUUAGAUACCCUGGUAGUCCACGCAGUAAACGGUGAACACUAGGUGUAGCGGGUAUUGACCCCUGCUGUGCCGAAGUUAACGCAUUAAGUGUUCCGCCUGGGAAGUACGAUCGCAAGAUUAAAACUCAAAGGAAUUGACGGGGGCCCGCACAAGCGGUGGAGCAUGUGGUUUAAUUCGACGCAACGCGAAGAACCUUACCUGGAUUUGACAUCCCGGGAAUUCUCUUGAAAGAGAGAAGUGCCCUUCGGGGAGCCCGGAGACAGGUGCUGCAUGGCUGUCGUCAGCUCGUGUCGUGAGAUGUUGGGUUAAGUCCCGCAACGAGCGCAACCCUUGUCUUUAGUUACCAUCAUUCAGUUGGGGACUCUAAAGAUACUGCCCCGGUAAACGGGGAGGAAGGUGGGGAUGACGUCAAGUCCUCAUGGCCUUUAUAUCCAGGGCUACACACGUGCUACAAUGGGCUGUACAAAAGGUUGCAAACCCGCGAGGGUAAGCUAAUCCUGUAAAACAGUUCUAAGUUCGGAUUGGAGUCUGCAACUCGACUCCAUGAAGCUGGAAUCGCUAGUAAUCGCGGAUCAGCACGCCGCGGUGAAUACGUUCCCGGGCCUUGUACACACCGCCC